rnacentral:rRNA from 1 species
AACGAACGCUGGCGGCGUGCCUAACACAUGCAAGUCGAACGAGACCGUCGGGUCUAGUGGCGCACGGGUGGGUAACGCGUGGGAACUUGCCCUUAGGUACCCAAUAACUCCCCUAAAGGGAUGCUCAUACCGGAGAAUCUAUUCCGACCAAAGAGUUAUCGCUUUUGGAUGGGCGCGGGUUGGUUUAGCUGGUUGGGAAGGUAAAAGCCGACCAGGGGCACGAUGGAUGGCUGGUGUGGGAGGAUGACCACCCCCGGUGGGAGUGAGACCCGGCCCAGACUCCGACGGGAGGAAGGAGGGGGGAAUAUCGGACAAUGGGCGAAAGACUGAUCAAGCCAGGCCGCGUGAGGGAGGAAGGCCUUAGGGAUGCAAAGCUCUCUUGCCCGGGAUGAUAAUGACCGUAACGGGAGAAUAAACCCCCGGUAAACCCCGGC